rnacentral:lncRNA from 1 species
GUACGAGCCAAUAUCUGAUGCUGAUGAGGACAAAGAUGCGGCGCAUAGAGCAAUGGUCUUUGCAAUCGGAUGGUAAAUAUGUCAGGUUCAUAACCUUUCUGAAGGAAUCAAAUUCCAUAUGUUUAACCCUCAUGUAUUUAACACACUGAAAAACAAAUCAGGUUCCUUGAUCCUCUGUUCUUUGGAAAAUAUCCCCUUUCAAUGGAAAAGCUUGUGGGUGAGAGAUUACCUGAAAUCACUCCAGAGGCGUCCAAAGCCUUGGCAGGUUCCCUGGACUUUGUGGGCAUUAAUCAUUACACAUCUCUGUAUG